UUGAUCCAGUAGAACAUGUCUUUUACAAGCAUUUACUUUACCAACUGGGAGCUCUGUACCCUCCCCUGUGAAAAACACCCAGGCAAGUCCAAGGAGUAUGAGGUUAAACAAACAAGAGAAGAUGAAGGAGGAAAAGAAGAAGAUGGAGGAGGACAAAGUUUUCAGAAGUGCUUAUUAGAGCUAUUACAUGCCAAAUAUCUACUCUGUGGGAAAAGCAAAUUUCACAUUUUUAUCAACUCUGUAUUCACACAUCUGAUCAAGAGAUGUUAGACGCCAGUUCUUGAGAAUGGCAGGACCACCUUGUGGACAUAACCUGGGUCGGUGAAUGACUGCACGGAGCAGAGUCCUACCUGUCAAGACGUCAGAUUAUGAUGUGAAU
rnacentral:lncRNA from 1 species